GACGAACGCUGGCGGCGUGCCUAAUACAUGCAAGUCGAACGAAGCUGUUUUAACUGGUGCUUGCACCGACUUAAACAACUGAGUGGCGAACGGGUGAGUAACACGUGGGUAACCUGCCCCAAAGCGGGGGAUAACAUUUGGAAACAGAUGCUAAUACCGCAUAACCACAGAAACCACAUGGUUUCUGUGUCAAAGAUGGUUUCGGCUAUCACUUUGGGAUGGACCCGCGGCGUAUUAGCUAGUUGGUAAGGUAAUGGCUUACCAAGGCAAUGAUACGUAGCCGAACUGAGAGGUUGAUCGGCCACAUUGGGACUGAGACACGGCCCAGACUCCUACGGGAGGCAGCAGUGGGGAAUAUUGGACAAUGGGGGCAACCCUGAUCCAGCAAUGCCGCGUGUGUGAAGAAGGCCUUCGGGUUGUAAAGCACUUUAGUUGGGGAAGAAGGUGUAUUGUUUAAGAGAUGAUACAUUUGACUGUACCCAAAGAAUAAGCACCGGCUAACUCUGUGCCAGCAGCCGCCGCAG
rnacentral:rRNA from 1 species